GGGCCGGGAACGGGUGUUCAACAAGAUCUUGACAGUCUAUGUCUGGGGGUUCGAGUCCCCUCCGGUCCACCA
rnacentral:tRNA from 1 species